rnacentral:lncRNA from 1 species
UCAUAAUUUAUCCGAUUUUUCUUUAUCAUAACUACCAUUACACACAAUAUUAUCAAAAUUAUUUAUUUUUAUUUUAGAUUGAAAUAUUCUUAUUUUUCUCUAAUUUAUUUAUUUAACUAAGAAAUCUGAAAACUUAACAUAAAAUUACUUAUGUGAUUCUUGAUAAAUGCUCUAUCUGUUUCAUAAUAAAUGUCAUUCUAUUAUUUUAAUGUAAUUUUGUACAUUAAUCUAUUUUUUAUCUUUUUGAAUAACUAAUAUUUUUUAAAUCAUUUUUAUUUAAUUAAUCAUACAUUAAAUAGGAAUAUACUAGUCGAUUGUAUAAAUUUUUGAAUCUCCGUGAAAAAUAUCAAAAUGACACUUAAUUUGAAACAUAAUGAAUAUGUUUUAAGUAUUUUUAUAUAUGUGUGUACAAACACUAUUUCCAAUAUAAUACUUGUAGUAAAAUAUUAACUGUCAAUUUUGAUCACCUUCUAUUGAUUAGUUAGUUCAGGUCUUACGACUCAAAACUAAUUAAUUUGAAAUUAAUUUAAAGUAGAAAAUGACUUAUUCAAUCUCCGGUUGAGUGGUAAUUGCUUCCCCAUUACAAGACAACUAUACAUGUAUUUUCAAUACGCCACACACACAUAUACUCACUAAACAUAUUGCUGCAAAGACGUAUACAACAAAUGAUAUACAUAUUCAUGUGUGGUUCGUGCAUAUACACUGAUAUAUGGUAAACAAAGGAUAAUAAUUUCCAUUAGCUAAUGCAUGGGCCAUAAGUAAGCGUCACAUCCUGAAUAUUAUUUAGCUCACCAAUCAAAACAUGACACUUGUUCAUGCGCGUUCUCCGAACUUCCCCUCUC